GCUGGCAGACACCUGCCAGAUGCUGCCAUGGGCCCUUGGCUCCUUGGCUCUGUGGUCCUUUGCCUCCUGGCAGUAGGCCCAGUGGAAACCCAAGUGACCCAGGCCCCGAGGCACCUCAUCACAAAGACCGGAAAGAAGCUGACAGUGACUUGUUCUCAGAAUCUGAACUAUGAUUUCAUGUUCUGGUAUUGACAAGACCCAGGGCUGGGCCUAAAGCUGAUCUACUAUUCAAUUCACAUCAAUAUUGUUGAUAAGGGAGAUUCCCUGAAGGGUACAUUGUCUCUCGAAAAGAAAAGAAAAAUUUCCCUCUGACCCUGAAUUCGACCAGCACCAACCAGACCUCUCUGUAUCUCUGUGCCAGCAGUUUAUCCCAGCGCCACACAGCCAGCUGCUCUCUGCACAAAAAGGGCAGCUUCAAGAACAAGGAGACUCUUCCCUCAAAGGCCCCACUCCAACCAAGAGGAAAAACUUCCCCAACACCCCAUAGCAGCCCUUCCAUGCUCCCCAGUUCAGAGACUCUAA